rnacentral:rRNA from 1 species
UGGGGAAUAUUGCACAAUGGGCGAAAGCCUGAUGCAGCGACGCCGCGUGAGGGAUGACGGCCUUCGGGUUGUAAACCUCUUUCAGCAGGGAAGAAGCGAAAGUGACGGUACCUGCAGAAGAAGCGCCGGCUAACUACGUGCCAGCAGCCGCGGUAAUACGUAGGGCGCAAGCGUUGUCCGGAAUUAUUGGGCGUAAAGAGCUCGUAGGCGGUUAGUCGCGUCUGCUGUGAAAACUCGAGGCUCAACCUCGGGCUUGCAGUGGGUACGGGCUGACUAGAGUGCGGUAGGGGUGACUGGAAUUCCUGGUGUAGCGGUGGAAUGCGCAGAUAUCAGGAGGAACACCGAUGGCGAAGGCAGGUCACUGGGCCGCAACUGACGCUGAGGAGCGAAAGCAUGGGGAGCGAACAGGAUUAGAUACCCUGGUAGUCCAUGCCGUAAACGUUGGGCACUAGGUGUGGGGUCCAUUCCACGGAUUCCGUGCCGCAGCAAACGCAUUAAGUGCCCCGCCUGGGGAGUACGGCCGCAAGCUAAAACUCAAAGGAAUUGACGGGGUCAUAGCUGUUUCC